rnacentral:rRNA from 1 species
AUUGAACGCUGGCGGCAGGCUUAACACAUGCAAGUCGAGCGGAGAUGAGGUGCUUGCACCUUAUCUUAGCGGCGGACGGGUGAGUAAUGCUUAGGAAUCUGCCUAUUAGUGGGGGACAACAUUCCGAAAGGAAUGCUAAUACCGCAUACGCCCUACGGGGGAAAGCGGGGGAUCUUCGGACCUUGCGCUAAUAGAUGAGCCUAAGUCGGAUUAGCUAGUUGGUGGGGUAAAGGCCUACCAAGGCGACGAUCUGUAGCGGGUCUGAGAGGAUGAUCCGCCACACUGGGACUGAGACACGGCCCAGACUCCUACGGGGGGCAUCAGUGGGGAAUAUUGGACAAUGGGCGGAAGCCUGAUCCAGCCAUGCCGCGUGUGUGAAGAAGGCCUUUUGGUUGUAAAGCACUUUAAGCGAGGAGGAGGCUACCUGGAUUAAUACUCUAGGAUAGUGGACGUUACUCGCAGAAUAAGCACCGGCUAACUCUGUGCCAGCCGCCGCCGUAAUAC